rnacentral:lncRNA from 1 species
UUUUUUUUGUAUUAAAUUCUUUUAUUGGUACAUUGUAGGUGUACAACACAAUUACAUUUCUCAUCGGGAAUUGUACCUUUAUAUAAUGCAUCUUGUUUCUUAUUUUUUCCCCAUUCCUAGCCCUCCCUUCAUGCCCUCCACCCUUCCCUAUUUACAAAGACUUUAUUUCCAUUUUUUCUAUUUCUCAUCAUUUUUCCUUUCCCUUCUUUCCUUUCUCCUGCCCCUCCCACUUCCCCUACCACUUUGGACCUUUUCUUCCUAUUUUACAUUAUCGAUUAUUCAUUCUAAUAAUUGGUACAUUUUAGGCAUACAAUAUAAUGACAUUCAUCAUUGGAAAUUUGCACCUUUACAUAGUCUCUCUUGGUUCUCAUUUUUCACCCUUGCCCAGCCCUCCCUUCAACCCCUCCAGACUUCAUAGUAAAGUAUUUUAUUAUGGAAACUUGUAAAUUCAUGUGGGUACUCACUUAACCCUGACAAAUAUGCACACAGUAUGUAAAGAAAAUGAGAAAGUGAAGAUCAGAGAUAAGGAUUCAUGUCCCUGUGGCAGGAACUAUUAUUGUCUCAGAGCUUCUGCUGGAGGCCAGAUUGAAGGGAACUUUCCUAGUCUAUGCAAGUCUGUGUAUAAUUAACAAUGAGUGGAAAGACUGCUAACAUUUACCCUUUGGGAACCUAGAAUUUUUUCCCUGCAUUACUCCAUGUACUUUAAAAUUUUUAUUUACUUAUUUUUUAUGAUCUCUCUCUCUCUCUCUCUCAGAAGGGAGCCUACUCCAUUGUUAUCCUCAGUUACAUCUUAUUUUUAUGUGCAAAAUUCAAAUUGAGGGUGGAGUUGUAGGGGUUCAGUUGUCACCCUCUGAAACAAGAUAGAUUUUCUGCAUAUUUAUCCACUCAGAACUGGGGAAUAGAAAAGGAGUGGGUGGGAAUGGCCUUGAAAAAAACAACUAUUAGUCUUACUGGACUACUAUAAUAUAGUACUACACAGUCUGCACAGUGUGUGGCUUAAAUUUCAGAAAUUUAUGUUCUCACAGUUCCAGAUGCUGGGAGUCAGAGAUCAAGCCCAAAGGGAUGGGUUCUUGUGGAGGCCUCUCCCCUUGGCGUGCGUAUAGCCGUCUUCUCUCCAUGUGUUCACAUGGUCUUCUCUCUGUGUAUGUCUGUGUCCCAGUUUCUUCUUACCAGGAUACCAGUCACAACUGGAUCAGGGCCCACUCAUAAGACCUUGUUUUAUUUUAAUUGCAA